UGUUUUGGAAGUUCUCAUCCAGGAAGGCAUAUGGGAAAGAGUUGACCCAGGAGCUGGCAUAGGGCCCCUUCUUGAAGCUCCAGGAGCUGCCAGGUCUUGAAGGAGUCCCUAUGCCCUGGGAGCGUCGGAGCUGGCAGUAGGUGGCCAGUGGGAACUGGAGCAGCUCAGAUCCCAGUCUGGCGGGGGGAAGGAGACCCUGGCAGGCAUCUGCAUCCUGCCCCGAGGACUUCAAACAUGCUCAGCAGUCUGUCACUAAGAAACAGACCCAAGGCCCCUCUCCACCUUCUUCUCUUCACAGCCCUGGAGAGGCUGCUGCUCUGAGUCUUUUUCCAGCUCCUCGUUACCUCUCCACCCUCCAUGAGGCACCACUGCCUCGUGGGAGAGACGGGUACAGCACGAAGAGCUCGUACAGCUGCUCUAUGUCCGCUGUGCAUGGAUACAGCCGCGUGAAAUCACACUUAGGACGCCACCAAGGGCCCCCCCAGCCUGGUACCCCUUGCACGGAUUGGUCAGGUAGCGAGUUGUGCCUUGGAAGGAAGGAAGCCUCUAUCUGGGGCUCUAGCCUCUGCACUCCGGAAUACCAAGGAUGCUGGCAGGCUGCCAGGGGCUUCCAACCUAUCGUCCAUCCAGGAUGAAGUUGGAGAUGGAGGCCGCA
ensembl:lncRNA